UACGUAGGGCGCAAGCGUUGUCCGGAAUUAUUGGGCGUAAAGAGCUCGUAGGUGGUCUGUUGCGUCCGCUGUGAAAACCUAAGGCUUAACCUUGGGCCUGCAGUGGAUACGGGCAGACUAGAGGUAGGUAGGGGAGAAUGGAAUUCCCGGUGUAGCGGUGAAAUGCGCAGAUAUCAGGAGGAACACCAAUGGCGAAGGCAGCUCGCUGGGACGGUACUGACGCUGAGACGCGAAAGCGUGGGGAGCAAACAGG
rnacentral:rRNA from 1 species